UGGGAAGCAUAGGCAUCUGAACCUUCGGGUUGCUUCUCAGCUAAUAAAACAACAAGCUAUUCUUCAAUUCAGGAAAUUAGAGACCGGAGUAUUAAAAGUUGCGCCUAUGAUCCCAAUUCGACUUGACUUACACCAACCAUAUUUCAGACUUCUCUUUCCUAAGAAACUGUAAACGGUUCAAAAUUUCACACUAUUGACAACUUUGUAUGGUUAAGGAAUUAUUUUCCAAUUGUUUGCACUUUUUAAGGAGAAUGACUUUGAUUACUUAUGAUAGAUGCUCUGCUGGUAAGUUUCUCUGGACCAAGAAAAUAAAUUCUUCUAGCAACAACAAUUCCACGCAUCCAUAAUGCCAAGAAGAAAAAGUUUGGGGCCGUAGCAGGAAGAUACUUACAUGGAUGUUCUUGCUGCAUUAAUAGCCGGAGAGCAAGCGUCAAGCAUAAUAUUUCACUUUUCGGAGCUGAAGAGAAGACGACCAGAGACAUGAAUCUGGCAACGUAGAAGUCUUGAGAAAAUAACAAGAGAGGUGUUGUACAAGGUGACCAAGAAAGGAAGCAGAAAGUCGACUAGGGACAGGAUUUUUCGCACUUAAAUCAGAGGUACAAAGUCAAGUUUCCCUUGCUCCAUUCUAUAAUUGCUUCACUAUAUAUAAUCUACUGCAAUACUAGGGAUAUUAAUUUGUGAUGUGUAGAGAUGAAACCACUAAUUGCGUAUGAAUUGCUUUAGCUACUAUUCAGUUCCCUUUUCUCCCUUUCUUUAUCAACUUCAGUCAUAAAUACAUGGUGAGGUAUUUGUUGUGACUUAUGCUCUGUUCAGUCAGAAAUACAUGCGGAGUUAUUCUACAUGAUGUGCCCUGAUUUCUUACUUUCCAUGUAUUUAUUUCCUGGGGGCUUAUCAACCUUUUGCCAAUGAAUUGGCAAUAUCUAUGGCUGCACUUAAUAGUUGUUAUGUAGGCCAAUUGCCUCAUGGACCGAUAUGCUAUUCGACAAGAUGUGCCCUCAUUUCUUAUUUUCCAUGUAUUUAACACUUGAUGUUUAUCCAAUUUAUUGAAUCACCUCUGAUUUUUGUA